rnacentral:rRNA from 1 species
UACGGGGGGGGCAAGCGUUGUUCGGAAUUACUGGGCGUAAAGGGUUCGUAGGCGGCCAACUAAGUCCGACGUGAAAUCCCUCGGCUUAACCGGGGAACUGCAUCUGAUACUGGAUGGCUUGAGAUUGGGAGAGGGAUGCGGAAUUCCAGGUGUAGCGGUGAAAUGCGUAGAUAUCUGGAGGAACACCGGUGGCGAAGGCGGCAUCCUGGACCGACACUGACGCUGAGGAGCGAAAGCCAGGGGAGCAAACGGG